rnacentral:rRNA from 1 species
AUUGAACGCUGGCGGCAGGCCUAACACAUGCAAGUCGAACGAGUGGCGGACGGGUGAGUAAUGUCUGGGAAACUUCCUGAUGGAGGGGGAUAACUACUGGAAACGGUAGCUAAUACCGCAUACCAUCAGAUGUGCCCAGAUGGGAUUAGCUAGUUGGUGGGGUAACGGCUCACCAAGGCGACGAUCCCUAGAUGGUCUGAGAGGAUGAACAGACACACUGGAACUGAGACACGCGCCAGACUCCGACGGGAGGCAGCGGUGGGGAAUAUUGCACAAUGGGCGCAAGCGUAAUGCAGCCAUGCCGCGUGUAUGAAGAAGGCCUUAGCGUUGUAAAGUACUUUCAGCGGGGAGGCGUUACCCGCAGAGAAAGCACCGGCUAACUCCGUGCCAGCAGCCGCGGUAAUAC